rnacentral:rRNA from 1 species
GACGAACGCUGGCGGCGUGCCUAAUACAUGCAAGUAGGACGCAGUUGCGAACGGGUGAGUAACGCGUAGGUAACUGCCUAGUAGAGGGGGAUAACUAUUGGAAACGAUAGCUAAUACCGCAUACUAGUAGAUGGACCUGCGUUGUAUUAGCUAGUGGGUAGGGUAAUGGCCUAACUAGGCAACGAUACAUAGCCGACCGGGGAGGGGGAUCGGCCACACUGGGACUGGGACCCGGCCCAGACUCCUACGGGAGGCAGCAGUAGGGAUUCUUCGGCAAUGGGGGGAACCCUGACCGAGCAACGCCGCGUGAGUGAAGAAGUUUUUCGGAUCGUAAAGCUCUGUUGUUAAGGAAGCGGUACUUAACCAGAAAGGGACGGCUAACUACGUGCCAGCAGCCGCGGUAAUUC